UUUCUGGAAUUCUCUUACCUUCUAUUUAAUGCCCAGCCAGUUUUCAGCUAGGUGACAAGAAAGUUUAGAGGAAAUCUAGAAUUUGCAAAGGGAGGGAGACCAAACAGCAUCAGUGUGGCUCUGUUUGAAAUUCUCGAGCACCACCUCGUGCUGAUACACAAGUAUUCGGUCAGCAGAUGGUAGCAAGUUGCAGAGUCCCUUCACGGCUGGGUCAGCAAAGGGAUUCCGUGCUUUCCAUUUCGGGAAGACUAUCUGAAGUCUGGCUGAGCAAAGAAAGACGAGACAUGCAGAGAUGCAACCUUAGACUAAAUAUUGAACAAGACCAGCUAUAUCAUGUUUCAUUUGAUGUUAUAGAAACAGUUCAAUAAUGUACUUUUCCAUUAAGACGCACAAUACAAAUUAAUUGUUUUAUUAAAAAUAACUUAAAAUACAGAACAAUCCCCUUUAGGGAGAAAAGCUAUUUCUAUAGAUCAGUCAACAUACAAAUUGAACACUACAACUGAGGGCAUGGAGAAAAGAAAUGAGGCUUCUAGGGCCCACCUUUUCAGGACACAACUCCACUAUGGCUGAGAUGGGCCAAGUGGUAGGUCAAAAUCUGAAGAUGCUCUUCCUCCCACCAUUCCAUGCCUCAGUUCCAGGAACUUGUCAGGAUACCAGCCUUGUGCUGAUGGUGCACCACAGUAUGGCUGGCCUUAAAGUAGGGAGAGCAUCUCACUAGGUUUAAUCGAAUCACAAGAGCCCAUACCAAAGAAAAGCAAGACCGAGAUCUGCAGCGUAAGGAGGACUGGAAGGGCCUCUUUUGGUUUGAAGAUGGAAGGACUCACACAAGAAUGCAUUCCAGCAAUCCUAAGGAGCUAAGAGAAAAGAAAAGGGCCUGGCGCCUGCCAGUCAGGAACUAAACUCUACCAAUGACCUCAAUGAACUCAGAAGCAGGUACUUCCUAGAGCCUCCACAUAGGAGUGGUGCCCUGCUGACCCCUGACUUCAGCCUUGUGAGGAUUGUGAGUAGAAAACCCAACCAUACCAUGCAGCACUCACAAGCUACACAACUGCGUGCUAAUAAACGGUAUUACUUUAUGCUGUUGGAUUGUGGGUAAUUGGAAACAGCAACAGAAAGCCAUUUCAUUGCAGGAGGAUAACUUCAUUGGAUUUGGCAGUUUUUGUUUUUAGUUAGGAUUUUUUUUAACAAAUAUUAUUAAAAUUAAUAUUCUCCUUUGCAGGGAGAAAAAAAUUAAAAAAAUUCUGCUGCACCAAAGACUCUGGGGGAGGAGGGAAGGGAAGGAGAGGUACUGGAGCCUUCAUGCAUAACAGCAAGGGCCCUAAGAUGGGGCAGAGUGUUUCGCAGACACCUAUCAUGGGAGAUGAGAAACUGUGCCAUGUGUAAACAACUAUACUAUAGCAAACCGUUACCCACCCCCGCAAGAGUGAUUUAAAAAUCUUCCUAAGAAUUUACACUGUUUUGUAUUCUCUAGCAAGCAUGUUUGUCUAAGUCUUACUUUUCUAAUGUACUCUUGCCUAAAUAACUCACUUAACCCUGUUUGUGAACUUUACUUUGGACGAUGGUGGUAAUAAAUCCAGUCACCCCUCCAUUCAUCAAGGGUGUCAGAUCUCUCCAACUGAGGGUUCUUUCCAACCUCCCAGGUGAGACCCAGGGUAGGAUGGCAAAGUUCUCUAUCAAACAUCCAGUAUGAAUUUCUACUGUAUAACUGGGUUAGAUUAAAUUGGCACUAAGGUGACUAAGUACACUUGGGGGGGGGGGGGUGUAGAAUUCAAUCUUAAGAAAAUACAAAGAAAAAAAACCUCCACCAGUUUCUACAUGUAAAAUCAUGUUUGGGAUAAGCAUCCAAAUCUGAAAAUGUAGACUUUUUGCAGAAUUCUAUGCUGCUGUUCUCCUGUUAUCCUGGGUUUACUCAUGUUGAGUUCAACUUCACUGAGACAUGAAAACAUA